rnacentral:lncRNA from 1 species
UUUUCUUUUUUUUUUUUUUUUUUUUUUUUUUGAGAUGGAGUCUUGCUCUGUCGCCCAGGCUGGAGUGCAGUGGCGUGAUCUCAGCUCACUGGAAUCUCCACCUCCUGGGUUCACACCAUUCUCCUGCUUCAGCCUCCGAACAGCUGGGACUACAGGCACCCGCCACCAUGUCGGCUAAUUUUUUGUAUUUUUAGUAGAGAUGGGGUUUCACCAUGUUAGCCAGAAUGGACUCGAUCUCCUGACCUCGUGAUCCACUCGCCUCAGCCUCCCACAGUGCUGGGAUUACAGGCGUGAGCCACCGCGCCUGGCCUGACUAAAAUACAUUUUCAAGACUAAAAGCUAAGAACAAAGAUUUAGAGAUUUGAUACAGCAUUUGUAGAGAGGGCUUUUAGAGUGAUCUCAACCUGAUGUAACUGGCUGUGAAAUGUAAUUCUUCCAGGAUGAAAGGUGAAGAUCAGUAUGCAUACAUGUAUUUAUCUACAGUAUAUACACAUAAUACAUAGUAAAGAAUUAAGCUUCAGUAACCUGUAAAAUUUGCCUAAGUAGAAUACUGAUUUUGCAGAGAUAUGGGCUAAGUAAGAUACUAUCCUACACAUAAACACACGCAGAUGAUAGAAUGAAGUUAAAAACUGUUUCCAUUCUUCUUCUACACCUUAUAUAUUCAUGUCUAUAACAGCCCAUAACACACUGUUUACAUGUCUGACUUGCCCAACAGACUGUGAAGUCCUUAAGUCUAGCAGGGUGCUACAUUCAUUUAUUAUUCAGUAAAUAAAUGUUGAGCCAAACUGAAGUUACAGGAGAGAAGCAGAAAUCAUCAUGGAUUCACACAAGAGUGGGAGGGAUUUUUUUUUUUUUUUUUUUGAGAUGGAGUUUCACUCUUGUCGCCCAGGCUGGAGUACAAUGGCGUGAUCUCAGCUCACUGCAACCUCCACCUCCUGGGUUCAAGCAGUUCUCAUGACUCAGCCUCCCAAGUACCUGGGAUUAAAGGCACGUGCCACCACACCUGGCUAAUUUUUGUAUUUUUAGUAGAGACGGGGUUUCACCAUAUUGGCCAGGCUGGUCUUGAGCUCCUCCCCUCAGGUGAUCCACCCACCUCAACCUCCCGAAGUGCUGGGAUUACAGGUGGGUGGAUCACAAGGUCAGGAGUUCAAGACCAGCCUGGCCAACAUAGUGAAACCUCUUCUCUACUAAAAAUACAAAAAUUAGCCAGGUGUGGUGGCACGUGCCUGUAGUCCCAGCUAUGAUACUCAGGAGGCUGAAGCAGGAGAAUACCUUGAACCUGGCAAGCAGAGGUUGCAGUGAGCCGAGACCACGCCAUUGCACUCCAGCCUGGGUGACAGAGUGAGACUCCAUCUCAAAAAAAAAGAAUAUCACGCCUGUAAUCCCAGCACUUUGGGAGGCCGAGGCGGGUGGAUCACGAGGUCAGGAGAUCGAGACCAUCCCGGCUAAAACGGUGAAACCCCGUCUCUACUAAAAAUACAAAAAAUUAGCCGGGCGUAGUGGCGGGCGCCUGUAGUCCCAGCUACUUGGGAGGCUGAGGCAGGAGAAUGGCGUGAACCCGGGAGGCGGAACUUGCAGUGAGCCGAGAUCCCGCCACUGCACUCCAGCCUCUAUCUCCCAGAAUCAAGGGAUUCUCCCGCCUCAGCUUCCUGAGUAGCCUGCAUGCCACCAUGCCCAGCUAUUUUUUUUAUUUUUAUUUUUAGUAGAGACAGAGUCUCACUAUGUUGCUCAGACUGGUCUCGAACUGCUGGGCUCAAGCAAUCCUUCUGCCUCAGCCUCCCAAAGUGCUUGGAUUACAGGGUGAGUUACCCUGCCCAGCUGACUUCUCUACAUUUGUGAAGUCACUAAAAUGACCUCAGCCUUGGUUUUCUCUAUAUAAUAGCAGAACUAGGAUCAAUCCAACCACUUACCUUCUACAUUCCUACAUGCAGGCUGCUGAGUACUGCUCCAGAAAAGAACACAACUGUGCCGACUGUCACCAAUCCAAUUCAUGUUUCUAAACUCAGCAGUUUUGUAAUCCUUUCACCCCUCCCAUUCCCCACAGCAGCUGGUUCUCAUGCCAUCUAUCCUGCCAUCAAAAUCUCCUUCCUUCAUAAUAGCCAAAAACUAGAAAUAUGUGUCCAUUAAUUGAUGAAUGGAUAAACAAAAUGUAGUAUAUCCAUACAACAGAGUAUUAC